AACACGUCACGCAAUGGAGUUUUGUGAGCGGUUUGAACUGCUGCGUCUAAUCGUUCUUCAUCCUUGAUAUUGAGGCGGAAAUUUUCCUUUUUUUCCGUACAAAAAAAAAGAAAAGAAAAGAAAAAGGCUACAUCACAAUGUAAAGCUGUCCCCAUGCUCUUCUGCUGUGAACCUCACCUUUAUUUCAUGUGACGUGUAUGUGGCAGUGCAGGCAGUGUGUUGCAAAGGAGAGUUGUAGAUUGAUAGGGAGUUCUUGCGGA